UCUCCAAGAAUUUAGGUGGUCACAAAUCCCAGACAAGCCCCCAACUGAAAGACCCCCAGUUUGGGGAGACCCUCACUCAAGUCUUGGGAUAAGCUGACACCCCAAUAAUUCAAGAGAGACC
rnacentral:pre_miRNA from 11 species